CCUACGGGAGGCAGCAGUGGGGAAUAUUGCACAAUGGGCGAAAGCCUGAUGCAGCAACGCCGCGUGAGCGAUGAAGGCCUUCGGGUCGGAAAGCUCUUUCCUCAAGGAAGAUAAUGACGGUACUUGAUGAGGAAGCCCCGGCUAACUACGUGCCAGCAGCCGCGGUAAUACGUAGGGGGCUAGCGUUAUCCGGAAUUACUGGGCGUAAAGGGUGCGUAGGUGGUUUCUUAAGUCAGAGGUGAAAGGCUAGGGCUCAACCGUAGUAAGCCUUUGAAACUGGGGAACUUGAGUGCAGGAGAGGAAAGUGGAAUUCCUGGUGUAGCGGUGAAAUGCGUAGAUAUUAGGAGGAACACCAGUUGCGAAGGCGGCUCUCUGGACUGUAACUGACACUGAGGCACGAAAGCGUGGGGAGCAAACAGGAUUAGAUACCCGAGUAGUC
rnacentral:rRNA from 1 species